rnacentral:piRNA from 1 species
AAGGAUUUCUCCAGUGUUCAGGUAG